UACAGAGGUCUCAAGCGUUGUUCGGAUUCAUUGGGCGUAAAGGGUGCGUAGGUGGCGCCGUAAGUCAGGUGUGAAAUUUCGGAGCUUAACUCCGAAACUGCAUUUGAUACUGCGGUGCUUGAGGACUGUAGAGGAGACUGGAAUUUACGGUGUAGCAGUGAAAUGCGUAGAGAUGUGGAGGAACACCGAUGGCGAAGGCAGCCCCCUGGGUCAAGAUUGACGCUCACGCACGAAAGCGUGGGGAGCAAACAGG
rnacentral:rRNA from 1 species